rnacentral:misc_RNA from 1 species
AACCAUAGAAACCUGCGGAGUACCUGCGGAGGGAUCAUUAUAGAGUGGUAAACCUCCCGUAAAAAGGGAGGGACCUCCCGUCCUUUGUAGGCUCCUUUUUAAGGGGCUUUUUUGACUUUCUGCUUCGGUGGGGUUAUCCUACCGGAACACCCUCAAAACUCUGAUCAAAAAAUUGUUCUGUCCGAGGGCUUUUUUAUACUAAAAAAAAAACUUUUAACAAUGGAUCUCAGAUCGGAAGAG